UAUAGAAGGCUCCCCCUUAUAAAUCACCCACUUUCCUCUGUAUCAUAAAGAGAGAGAAGAGAAAGAAAGAGAAGAAAAGAAGAGUUUGGUUUUCUUUCUACUGCAACUAGAGGACGCAUCCAAAGGGAUCGCAUUGAUCCUAAAUCUUCACUUAACGAAUUUCUCUUCUUUUGGGAUCAUGCUAUCCCUUUGGAUUCCUCCUCUGGUAGCUAAAUAUAUUUAUACUUAUCUUCUGCCUGCAAAUUCUUCAUGCAUAAUCUUUCAACUGCUGUUUAUUAUACAACAGUAUCAACUUCUCACCGGAGAACUUGCCGGCCGGCUGCCACCGGAGUCACCGCCAAGAGAAGGCAAUGUUAUUAUCUCCAAAUCAACUGGGACAUGCAGCUGCAGCUGGAGACAUACAUGAAAUUUGGCACUUUCAAUGGCAACAAAAGAAGAUUGGUUUCCAGUAAGGAUGAAAUUAUGGCUCUCACCAGCUAGUAAUUAUUUGAAGCUGAGGCUUCAAACUGUCUUAUGAUCAUUCUCGUUUGAAGUGUGGUCCUGCAAACAAGAGAAGUAGAAGAAGGGAUUAUACAAGGAAACUGAGGUGGUCUUGUGCACAUAUUAAAGUUUUGCCUAUAAUUUUUAUAUUUAUUUGGUGUUAA